UCCGGUUUGUCACCGGCAGUCUCAUUAGAGUGCCCAACUGAAUGUAGCAACUAAUGACAAGGGUUGCGCUCGUUGCGGGACUUAACCCAACAUCUCACGACACGAGCUGACGACAGCCAUGCAGCACCUGUGUUCCCGUUCCCUUUCGGGCACACCCGGGUUUCCCCAGGCUUCGGGACAUGUCAAGGGUAGGUAAGGUUUUUCGCGUUGCAUCGAAUUAAUCCACAUAAUCCACCGCUUGUGCGGGCCCCCGUCAAUUCCUUUGAGUUUCAAACUUGCGUUCGUACUCCCCAGGUGGGAUACUUAUCACUUUCGCUUAGCCACUCAAGAUUGCUCUCAAACAGCUAGUAUCCAUCGUUUACGGCGUGGACUAC
rnacentral:misc_RNA from 1 species